rnacentral:rRNA from 1 species
UACGUAGGGGGCUAGCGUUGUCCGGAAUUAUUGGGCGUAAAGAGCUUGUAGGCGGUUCAGUAAGUCGGGUGUGAAAACUCAGGGCUCAACCCUGAGCUGCCACCCGAUACUGCUGUGACUUGAGUCCGGUAGGGGAGUGGGGAAUUCCUGGUGUAGCGGUGAAAUGCGCAGAUAUCAGGAGGAACACCGGUGGCGAAGGCGCCACUCUGGGCCGAGACUGACGCUGAGGAGCGAAAGCAUGGGUAGCAAACAGG